CAGAAGUACUUCCUCCAUCAAUUGCAUAUAAUUCUGCCUUCUAUACAGAUGUAUAUGGACUUUGAACUACUUUAUUUACCUCAACUGCUUUAUAACCAGCCUUACCUGAUUUGUUGGCAUCAGUAUAGAAGAACCUGGAAGCAACCUAGAUGCCCCUCAAUUGAAGAAUGGAUGGAGAAACUGUGGUAUGUUUACACAAUGGAGUAUUGGAAAAAAACAGUGAAAACAACCAUGAAAUCUUGAAAUUUUAAGGCAAAUGGAUGAAACUGGAAGAAACCAUCCUGAGUGAGGUAACCCUGUCACAGAAAGAUAAGCAUGUUCUUGGCUUAUUCUGCCACAUGCUCCUGCUAUUAUGUGCGGCUUCACCAGAGACCCGUGGAGUAUGACCACUCAAGCAUGGAUUGGAGAUCAAAACCGGGAGUGGUAAGUGCAUAUGAGUGCAAGCAUCUGUGGAGGCGAGAGGCAUUGGUUCACUCCUGGAACUGGAGUUGUGGUCUACCCAAUGCUGGAAACCAAAACUGGGGUUGUCUGCAGGAAUGUCAUCUGAAAACAGAUCAUGGAUGUCGCUGGAAAGCCUAUAGAUGAACUCCUAAGAGCCCCUUGGAAACCAGCAGCAGAUGCUACUGAAAACAGCCAUGGCCUGACGUUUAGUUGAUUCAUGUUCUAACUUACCAGCAAAAACCUUUGGAUAAGUAUCUUGACCUCUUUUAGUCAUACUCCUUCAUCUGUGACUUAUAACCACACUCUCUUUAAUAAAUUUUAAUGGCUGUUAUAAGGAUUAAAAUGGCAAAAGAGGAAAAGGUUUAUAAUGAAUAUAUGCUGCUUCUAUAAAGGCAUUUAAGGGUGAUAAUUUAGACUAAGCACUUUAUUUUCCUAUUAUUUGAUUAUGGCCCUCUUAAUAAUAUAUUGUCUCAGGUAGAUCUAGAUAAAUAUGUUAGAAAGGAAAAAUAUCCCUACACAAUGGUGGCAGAAAAAUGUUUAUUUCCUUUAAAUUUCAUGUAGAAAUCUAGGGCUGCAAGGGUAGCCUGGUGAAGCCCAGCCUGGAAGUGUGGCCUCAUGAUGCCCCACCCCCAGAGAGCCAGACUUCUACCCCUCUCACUUCUGUAUAGCUUCCAUUGCUAAGGCAGCCUAUAUGAGUUCUGGCCACUGUAUUCCUCUUCCUCACAGGAGGAGGAAGGAGGUUGGUGGAAAGGGCAAAAGGGCUUCUCUCCCAGAUGAGUCAUCCUACCACAGAGGACAUUUCUGGAAGAAACCAGCAGUGACUUCUGCUUGGGAGUCAGGGAAAUGCAGUCUGUCAGCUGAAGUCAUCAUUGGUUUACUGUGGUCUGUAUAACAAAGCAGGAAAUGUCUGCAUUUAGUGAAGAAAUGAUGAAUAAACCUAUAUCCCUCUUGAGACAUACACUAUCCUGCUUAGAUGUUCCCUCCUCAUCUAAACUAGGAAAUAGGCAACUAGUGCUCAGAGAUGAGAUUCGAGAAGUAACAGUGCCCAAAGCUAUUCUGGACAUGUGUACUUAUCCUGUAGUUGCCAUAAUAAUGUGAAAACAUUAAAUGCUUAGUGGUCCAUUAAAUUUGGUAGCUAUAUUGAAUACUUGCUAUAUGGUUAAUAUGACAGAAAGUACAUGCAUUAGAGUGAAUAAAUAAAAUCAUGAAAUUAUGGGAUGAAGCAACAAACUAGUAUUUUGAUGAAAAAGUAAGAGGCAGAAUUUCUACUAAGAUCCAGAGUCUGUAUUGUAGGGGAUUAAAGAAUAAAAUUCCUGCCAUCAGCCAAUACUGAACAGCAAACAAUAUAACCUACUAGACACAAUUGAAAAUGACUUUUAAAAAUUUCUUCUCUUUUCUUUUCCACAUAUGUUACCUGAUGGGACCUUAAAAAGUGGUCAAAUUCCUUGCAGGAAUAAAGAAAUGAUGAGUUCCAGGUCCACAUAAGCAUUUUCUAACUUUGUCUCUUAGCUCCCAACUUACUGACUUAAUGAUCACUUGAUGAGAUAAUCUGACAUGAUUAAAUCAUAUUCCAACAGCCUUGCUAACAUCCCAGGAGAAACUUUGUAACACACCCAAUCACUAUUUGUUGGGCGGCAAAUGUCAAAUGCAUCUUUCUUUCUAACUCACAUUCAGUAAUGCCACUUUGACUUUAAGACCAUCUUGUUCUAAAUUAUGAAUGCAGUGGCACUGCUUUGCACCAGCAGCCAUCUGUCUUCCAAAAGAUGAGCACAGUGUAGUGCUAAGAUCUGGAUUCCACUCAGGCCCUGUUCAUUUUCAGCAGACACAGGAAAUACGCCACAUGCCAUAAUAGCUCAAAAUAUGGCUAAAAUGCAUUACUGGAAAAGGUCAGAUUUCUUAUCUUCAUAAUGUCAUGGUAUCAUAUUUUAUAGGAACUUGGGCACAAUGGCCUCCAUUGUCUCACUGGUACAAUUUCCAUACCAACCUGGAAUACUUCAAUCCACUAGUAGCUUGAGUGAGGAGAGCAUGGGUGCAUUCACCUAGGGGAGUGAGCUAUGUUUUGGGAUCAGUUUGGACCCCUCAUGGCCUAGGUACUGUGUCAGAAACAGAGCAAUUAAUUUUCUGCCUUCAGGGCUUGUGUUUGAGAGGAAGCUCUCUGAACAGGAACACCUGCGAUUUGAUAGACACUGAUGUGAACAUUAGUGCUAGUAACCUGCCUUGUGUUACCGGCUGUGUACCCCUUGUGAUUGCUGCCUGGGACAUGAUCAUGUCUCCAACAUGACUGUUUCAAAGGAGCCUGGCUGGUAAAGUGAGGAAAAGAAGUCUAAAGAAGAUGCAUCUGGAAUCAAGCUGUGUAAUUCAGGCAUGGAUCAUUCCUAGAAAGGAAGGCAGGGUGGUAGAGAUGGUCUCAGAUAUUUUCGAAUCAUUGUGGUUGAAGAAUGUAGGGCUGUUUGACCUUUGGAUAAUUGAGUAUGGCCUAUUGUAUUAUCUCAGUACAUAAGCAUCAUAAAUGCUUAGAAAGAUGUUCUAGACAAGCAUCAGUUAUAUUGGAAAACACAAAUAUAUACAUAAAGGAGAAAAGUUAUGUUUAACAUACUAUUUUAUUAACUGAGAAUUUCAUACACGUAUAAAAGGUAUUUUGAUCAUGUUAACUCACUCCAACUCACUCCUCAACUGCUUCCAGAUCUGCCACUUACCUCCUCAUCUCUGCUUGUGUCUUUUUUAACAACUAAGAAGAGUUUUUUUAAAGUAUAAUAUUUAUUUAAUUAUUUGACUAUUUCCUACAUGUGUACAAUGCAUUUUGAUUCAUUUCUAUUCUUCUCCCUAACUCCUUCCAUAUUCACCCUGACCUCCUUCCAAAUUAGUGUCUUCUUUACUUUUUAAAAUAACACACUAAGUCCAAUUUGUUCUGCUCUUUUACUCCAUAAGGAUAAAACCAUUUGUGGGAGCACGAUUGACCUAUUAAAGGCCACAUGCUUAAAGACAACUGACUCUGAGUUUUCUAGAGGCCAGCAAUUGUCAAUGGCUUCUCAGACAGGGGUGGGGGCUCAUGAGCCCUUCCCCUUCAUGUUGGAACAUUGACUGGAUUGGUCCUGUGCAGGCAAUCACAAUUGCUGAUAAUUCAGGAGUAUGGUGGUCCUAUUAUGUCCAGACUACCUCUGCCUCUUAAUGAGAUUUCUUAUCCUUCUUCUGAGAAUUAUCUCUGAGCCUUGAAAGGAGGGAGUGUGAUAUGGAUGUCCCAUUUGUGGCUGAGUACUCCACAGACACUUAUUCUCUGUACCCCAGCUAGUUGUGAGUUUCUGCACUAACUUCCAUUCAUUCCACUAAAAAACUACUCUUAAGAAAUUUGAAAGAUCCAUUAAUAUUGGAUAUAAAAAUACAAAUUUAGAGGACCAUUUGAUGCUGUGUUCAUUUAGCAGAAUAAUAAAAGUAGGCUCAACCCUAUGAGCUCCCAGCAUGGAUUCUUGGCAUUGCAUCUAACUCGAACAUGGUGCAUUGCCUCCAGAACAAUCAUACCACUUGGUAUCAAUGGAUACAUUUUGUUGGCCGCCUGUUAAUAUAGAUCACAGGGUUCACAACUGGGUAAGACUAUUGAUUUUUCCCCUUCAACAGUCUGAAAAGAACCUUCCAGUACUAAUAAAGCCAGCCAUCAGAAAGGAAGUGCUUGGUCUUGUCUGUGUCCUGUGGUCAACAUGUGGUGUUUUGUGCAAUAAACUAUUACCAUCAAGUUCUUAU
ensembl:lncRNA